rnacentral:misc_RNA from 1 species
GAAAUGCGAUAAGUAAUGUGAAUUGCAGAAUUCAGUGAAUCAUCGAAUCUUUGAACGCACCUUGCGCUCCUUGGUAUUCCUUGGAGCAUGCCUGUUUGAGUAUCAUGAAAUCUUCAAAGUAAAUCUUUUGUUAACUCAAUUGGUUUCUACUUUGGUAUUGGAGGUCUUUGCAGCUUCACACCUGCUCCUCUUUGUUCAUUAGCUGGAUCUCAGUGUUAUGCUUGGUUCCACUCGGCGUGAUAAGUUAUCUAUCGCUGAGGACACUGUAAAAGGUGGCCAAGGGAAAUGCAGAUGAACCGCUUCUAAUAGUCCAUUGACUUGGACAAGACUUUUAUGAUCUGAUCUCAAAUCAGGUAGGACUACCCGCUGAACUUAAGC